CCUCAGCAAUGGUUAUUCCUUUCUGUCCUUCAGCAUCCACCAUAUCAUAUAUACAAUGUUCUAGGGGAAGCUCCACAAAUUGAUCAGUAAUCUGGCCUCUUUUUCCAUGUUUAACCAAGUGUUCAGAGUCAAAACUAUCAUAUCCACUCAUGCUUAUUUUUGGCUGAAAAUCUUUAGGAUCAAAUGUCUUCAAUAAGCGUACACAGCUGACAACCUGCAAAUAGUUUAAAGCAAGAACUGACAGAUAUUCAAGAAAAAAAAGGACAGACAGAUAUUUAAUGGUUGUGAAUGAAAAGGAGAAGGUGUUGAGGAACAAAUAAUGCAAUAGAUACCCAAAGUCAAGCACCAGGUAUGUAUGC
rnacentral:lncRNA from 1 species